AUACUUACCUGGCAGGGGAGAUACCAUGAUCACGGAGGUGAUUUUCCCAGGGUGAAUCUUAUCCAUUGCACUCCAUUGUGUUGACCCCUGUGAUUUCCCCACAUGUGGGAAACUCAACUGCAUAAUUUGUGGUAGUGGGGGACUGCUUUUGUGCUCUCCCCAG